CGAUGCAACAGCAGUCCGCGAUGCUCGUGCUCAGCUCGAGACCCGCUGAGUUCUCUGGACACCGAUCGCACGAAAGCAGUGGAACAAAUGGGACCGUAAAGCCUAUGAAGUGGCUUCGUAUAUAUAUAAAGAGAUUCAAAGACUGCUUCUUGUGAUACCCUGUAAAACGAAACGUAGGAAGUAGAACCUGCUUAUACAAGAUCACAUUUUAACCUAGUUGGAAAUGUUAUGGUAAACGAUCCCACGAUUAAAGUGAAAAACAACAUACGAAAUUUAUAUUUUAAUUAUCCUAAUUUUCCUUCAAACUUAACUUCGUUUAUUUUCCAUAGUUAAAUUAUCCUCCAACAAAAUUGACAUUCAACUACUGAACGAGACUUCGAAGAAUAGAUUUCUUGCAUCGAGAUAUUUCAAAGUCUCUCUGAAAUGUCACAGUCACUUCGUGAUGAUUAUUCGCGUCAUUUCACGCGGUUCAACUGAUACACGUGCAAGAACGAUUGCGGUAAAGAGGAUAAGGGAGGUAGACAAUGGCGUCGAGGCAAGGUGACGUUGUUUCUUCCCACGAACGAGCCCGGAGAUAAACUCCUCUGAAAUAGAUCUCUGACUCUUGUGUGUAUGCAACACGAUGUACGGAAAGUAUAUAUGCUGGAAAGUAGAACCCAUCUAAUCUCCUUUCUGGAAAUCCUCCCGAGAUACCGAGAUACGUUCCGAAAUGUCUGCUUCGAUCUUUAUUUUGACAUUUUACGCUGCACGACUAAGAACGUGAUACAGCGUAAAGAUAUUAAAAAGAAAGAUAACGAACUACAUAUCGG